GUGGGGAAUAUUGGGCAAUGGGGGAAACCCUGACCCAGCGACGCCGCGUGAGGGAAGAAGGCCUUAGGGUCGUAAACCUCUGUUGUGUGGGAAGAAGAGCGUGACGGUACCACACGAGGAAGUCCCGGCUAACUACGUGCCAGCAGCCGCGGUAAUAUGUAGGGGACGAGCGUUGUCCGGAUUUACUGGGCGUAAAGGGCGCGUAGGCGGUCAUUUAAGUCAGCUGUGAAAUGGUUUGGCUUAACCGGAUCAUGCGGUUGAAACUGGAUGACUGGAGUGCUGGAGAGGCAAGUGGAAUUCCCAGUGUAGCGGUGAAAUGCGUAGAUAUUGGGAAGAACACCGGUGGCGAAGGCGACUUGCUGGCCAGCAACUGACGCUGAGGCGCGAAAGCCAGGGGAGCAAACGGGAUUAGAUACCCGGGUAGUCC
rnacentral:rRNA from 1 species